rnacentral:lncRNA from 1 species
AUCAAUGGGGCAGGCCAGCCCGGCCAGGUCAGGCCCCAGCGGCCUGCCUCCGCCCCUCGCACCCGAGUCUCCCGGGUAACCAGGCUCCGCUUCUCCGCAGGCCCGUAAAGGCCCCUCGACUUCCUGUGUUCCUCACCCUGGAUCGGAGCUCCGAUCUCUGCCAACUUGGCCUGAAGCUCCUGGGCAGCCCAGGCGCCAUAGUGGCCUGGAGGUGGCGGCGGCGGCAGCUGCAAUUCUGCUUUGGGAGGCUCGGGAUGCUCCGUCGCCAUCUUAGCCGCAGGAAGGCGCGCGACCAACCCGGAAGCUGGGGCCAGCCUCAGGGCCCACUUGCCGGAACUUCCGGUGGCGCCGUAUGCCACGUCCUCUCUGGUUGGGAGGCGACGCGCACUCAGGCACACCCGCUGCCGUGCGCUGGGCGACGGGAUUCGCCGCAGACGCACCUUUCUCUAGUGGCCCCUCGGCGGUCUGGUCGCGAGGCCUCCUGGGAGUUGUAGUGCGCAGGUCUCGGUCUCUGCGGGCCCUGCGCGCCGCUACGGCCCCGAAGGCCGGCGGCGGGCCGGAGGGCGGGGCUGCGAGGAGGGCUGGCACUUCCCCGAGGGAGUGUUUUCUGCGCCUCACCUGCGGGAGCGAAGGCUCUCAAGCUUUCCGGCCCGGCCCUCCGGUCAGAUCCUCGAACGCUUACGCUCCCAGGGAGUCCCGAGAGACUCAUUUCCCCGGCGGCCCCGCGUUGCGGGCGCCAAGCGGGAGGCUGGAGCCGAUGCCUGGGAUAAAACAGUGUCUGAUUGUCUGCCCGCCCACCCCCGGCCCAGGCCCGGAUGAAUGGGCUGAAAGGGGAUCCAAGCCGGGAGAGCAGCAGGCCUGCCCGGGCUGAGCUCCAGCUGCCGACCUGGGGGAAGGGCGACUCUAAAGCCCCCUUUUCCACCUUCCAGGCCGGCUCAAAUGUCGUCUUCUCCACUAAGCCUCCUCCCGCUUUCCUUUCCUUUCUUAGAGCUCCCAUAAUACGUUCGAAUCUCCACCGUUUGUUAAGUCUUUCUUGCCCUUUCUUCCUACCUCUAUCCCAAAAAUGUGAGCAGGGACUUGAUCAUUUUCAGUCUCGCAUCGCCUGGCGUUCAAGAGGCGCCCAAUAAAUGAUUACUGGAAAAAAAGGAACAAUGUUUCUGGUGAAAGCAUUUGUGUCUUUUUUAGUCUCAAAAAUAAACUCAGGCCCUUUUCCCUCAGCCGCACCUGCACUGGGGGCCCCACCUUGCCUCCCACUCCCCACCCCAACUCCCCUUGGCCUUUGGAGACAGAGGCAGAGACUGGCAGGGAUUCUUGCCUGCCUAGCAUCCACCUCUCCCUGUCCCACACCAUCAAUUCAGUUUCUCUCCCCACCUCUGCCACUAGCUCUGCCCUCUCACCAACAGCUAGCCUGUGUGUGUUUUUUAUGUGUGUUGAGAAAGGGAGUGGGGAGACUCAAGUGAAAUGGUCUCAUUUUCCCCCUACACAUCCCCUUCAGAUCUUUUCUCCAGCUCCAUUUUGCCAACUGCCCCCAGUGGAGAAGAAGCUGGGAACAGGGAAAAAAAAAGAAUGGGGCACCAGGU